UGGGGAAUAUUGGGCAAUGGAGGCAACUCUGACCCAGCCAUGCCGCGUGGGUGACGAAGGUCUUCGGAUUGUAAAGCCCUUUCGGCGGAGACGAUGAUGACGGUAUCCGCAGAAGAAGCCCCGGCUAACUUCGUGCCAGCAGCCGCGGUAAUACGAAGGGGGCUAGCGUUGUUCGGAAUUACUGGGCGUAAAGGGCGUGUAGGCGGUCCGCUAAGUCAGGUGUGAAAGGCCUGGGCUCAACCCAGGAAAUGCGCCUGAGACUGACGGACUUGAGUCCGGGAGAGGAUGGUGGAACUCCCAGUGUAGAGGUGAAAUUCGUAGAUAUUGGGAAGAACACCCGUGGCGAAGGCGGCCAUCUGGACCGGUACUGACGCUAAUGCGCGACAGCGUGGGGAGCAAACAGGAUUAGAUACCCCCGUAGUCC
rnacentral:rRNA from 1 species